GACGAACGCUGGCGGCGUGCUUAACACAUGCAAGUCGAACGAAGUGGCGAACGGGUGAGUAACGCGUAAUCAACCUGCCCUUCAGAGGGGGACAACAGUUGGAAACGACUGCUAAUACCGCAUACGGAAGGAGGGGAUUGCGUCUGACUAGCUAGUUGGCGGGGUAACGGCCCACCAAGGCGAUGCGCAGUAGCCUGGUUUAGAGGAUGAACGGCCCAAUUGGGGCUGAGACACGGGCCAGACUCCUACGGGAGGCAGCAGUGGGGAAUCUUUCGAAAUGGACGAAAGUCUGACGACGCAACGCCGCGUGAGUGAUGACGGCCUUCGGGUUGUAAAGCUCUGUUAAUCGGGACGCGGUACCGGAAUAGAAAGCCACGGCUAACUACGUGCCAGCAGCCGCGGUAAUUC
rnacentral:rRNA from 1 species